CCCUUCGGGGAACCCGGUGACAGGUGCUGCAUGGCUGUCGUCAGCUCGUGUCGUGAGAUGUUGGGUUAAGUCCCGCAACGAGCGCAACCCUUGUCUUUAAUUGCCAUCAUUUAGUUGGGCACUUUAAAGAGACUGCCGGUGUUAAGCCGGAGGAAGGUGGGGAUGACGUCAAGUCCUCAUGGCCUUUAUGCCCAGGGCUACACACGUGCUACAAUGGGCGGUACAAAGAGAAGCAACCUCGCGAGGGUGAGCAAAUCUCAAAAAGCCGUUCUCAGUUCGGAUUGAAGUCUGCAACUCGACUUCAUGAAGUCGGAAUCGCUAGUAAUCGCGGAUCAGCACGCCGCGGUGAAUACGUUCCCGGGCCUU
rnacentral:rRNA from 1 species